rnacentral:sRNA from 1 species
GCUGGGUGAGGCGGCACACACCUGUAAUCCCAGCAACCCAGGAGGCUGAGGCAGGAGGAUUGCAAGUUCAAGGCCAGCCUCAGCAACUCAGCAACAUCCUGUCUCAA